rnacentral:pre_miRNA from 1 species
GAUUUCAAUUGAAAAAGCCAUCAAUAACAAAGUUGUAUAACUCAUCAAGAUCUAUAACUUCUAUUUUGGUCAUUUCUUCAUCCAACAAAGUGAUUUGUAAGAUUGUUCACAAAAUGCACAUAUCUUAUAUAGGUUGUAUAACUCAUCAAGAUUCUAUUUUGGUCAUUUCUUCAUCCAACAAAGUGAUUUGUAAGAUUGUUCACAAAAUGCACAUCUCUUAUAUAAGUAUAAGAGAUGUGCAUUUUGUGAACAAUCUUACAAAUCACUUUGUUGGAUGAAGAAAUGACCAAAAUAGAAGUUAUAGAUCUUGAUGAGUUAUACAACCUUGUUAUUGAUGACUUUUUCAGUUGAAAUC